rnacentral:rRNA from 1 species
GGCUCGGUUGACACGGCCCUGUUCAGGUCUCCUGUCUCAGUGUGUCGUUGUCGACUCGCCCUCUGAGUGACUUUGGUCACUUCGUUUACUUUGAGCAAAUUCGAGUGUUUCAAGCAGACGUCUAUUGUUUGUAGAGCUUAGCAUGGAAUAAUCGUACCGGACUAGGGUCGCGCUUGGGUUGCGUGUCGACUCUGGUA